rnacentral:rRNA from 1 species
ACCAACGACUGCGCCACGUUGAAUGCACCAGUUCUCGUCCGAUCACUGAAGUUAAGCGACGUUGGGCGUGGUCAGUACUCGGAUGGGUGACCACCUGGGAGAUCACGUGUUGUUGGUU